rnacentral:rRNA from 1 species
AGUGAACGCUGGCGGUAGGCCUAACACAUGCAAGUCGAACGGCAGCACAGUAAGAGCUUGCUCUUACGGGUGGCGAGUGGCGGACGGGUGAGGAAUACAUCGGAAUCUACUUUUUCGUGGGGGUUAACGUAGGGAAACUUACGCUAAUACCGCAUACGACCUACGGGUGAAAGCAGGGGAUCUUCGGACCUUGCGCGAUUGAAUGAGCCGAUGUCGGAUUAGCUAGUUGGCGGGGUAAAGGCCCACCAAGGCGACGAUCCGUAGCUGGUCUGAGAGGAUGAUCAGCCACACUGGAACUGAGACACGGUCCAGACUCCUACGGGAGGCAGCAGUGGGGAAUAUUGGACAAUGGGCGAAAGCCUGAUCCAGCCAUACCGCGUGGGUGAAGAAGGCCUUCGGGUUGUAAAGCCCUUUUGUUGGGAAAGAAAAGCAGCAGGUUAAUACCCCGCUGUUCUGACGGUACCCAAAGAAUAAGCACCGGCUAACUUCGUG